CCCUUAGCUGUUCUGGGCUGCACGCGCGCUACACUGAUGCGAUCAACAAGUUUUUCCUAUGUCGAUAGACACGGGUAAUCUUUUGAACUCGCAUCGUGAUGGGGAUAGAUUAUUGUAAUUAUUAAUCUUCAACGAGGAAUUCCUAGUAGGUGCAAAUCAUCAGUUUGCAUCGAUUACGUCCCUGCCCUUUGUACACACCGCCCGUCGCUGCUACCGAUUGGUUGAUCUGGUGAAUUAUUCGGACUGCCGGCUGAAGGGGUUUCCUCAUCUGCCAGCGGAAAGUCUUGUUAACCCUAUCAACUAGAGGAAGCAGAAGUCGUAACA
rnacentral:rRNA from 1 species